ACGAGUUAGGGUCUUCCAGGCCCGACCUCCCAACCCUAUGUUUAUUGAACCUCUGUUGCUUCGGCGGACCCGUCUCACGGCCGCCGGAGGACCGCUGAAAGGCGUCCUCUGGCCAGCGUCCGCCGAUAGCCCAACCUUUAAAAUCUUUAACUAAACGUGCCUUAAUCUAAGUACAAUUAUUAAAUAAAAGCA
rnacentral:misc_RNA from 1 species